rnacentral:rRNA from 1 species
GAUGAACGCUAGCUACAGGCUUAACACAUGCAAGUCGAGGGGCAGCACAGAGAUAGCUUGCUAUCUUGGGUGGCGACCGGCGCACGGGUGAGUAACGCGUAUCCAACCUGCCCAUUACUCGGGGAUAGCCUUGCGAAAGUAAGAUUAAUACCCGAUGUUGUUUGAUUGCCGCAUGACGAUCAAACCAAAGAUUUAUUGGUAAUGGAUGGGGAUGCGUGACAUUAGGUAGUAGGUGGGGUAACGGCUCACCGAGCCGACGACGUCUAGGGGUGCUGAGAGGAAGGUCCCCCACACUGGAACUGAGACACGGUCCAGACUCCUACGGGAGGCAGCAGUGAGGAAUAUGGGUCAAUGGACGAGAGUCUGAACCAGCCAAGUAGCGUGCAGGACGACGGCCCUGUGGGUUGUAAACUGCUUUCAGUUGGGAAUAAAAAGAGGGACGUGUCCCUAAUUGUAUGUACCAUCAGAAAAAGGACCGGCUAAUUCCGUGCCAGCAGCCGCAGUAAAAC